GUGACGUUACCAAACUGUUGCCUCGGCGGGAUCUCUGCCCCGGGUGCGUCGCAGCCCCGGACCAAGGCGCCCGCCGGAGGACCAACCAAAACUCUUAUUGUAUACCCCCUCGCGGGUUUUUUUAUAAUCUGAGCCUUCUCGGCGCCUCUCGUAGGCGUUUCGAAAAUGAAUCAAAACUUUCAACAACGGAUCUCUUGGUUCUGGCAUCGAUGAAGAACGCAGCGAAAUGCGAUAAGUAAUGUGAAUUGCAGAAUUCAGUGAAUCAUCGAAUCUUUGAACGCACAUUGCGCCCGCCAGUAUUCUGGCGGGCAUGCCUGUCCGAGCGUCAUUUCAACCCUCGAACCCCUCCGGGGGGUCGGCGUUGGGGAUCGGCCCUCCCUCUGCGGGUGGCCGUCUCCGAAAUACAGUGGCGGUCUCGCCGCAGCCUCUCCUGCGCAGUAGUUUGCACACUCGCAUCGGGAGCGCGGCGCGUCCACAGCCGUUAAACACCCAACUUCUGAAAUGUUGACCUCGGAUCAGGUAGGAAUACCCGCUGAACUUAAGCAUAUCAAUAA
rnacentral:rRNA from 1 species